GAUGAACGCUGACAGAAUGCUUAACACAUGCAAGUCUACUUGAAACACUUUCGGGUGUGGAUGGUGGCGGACGGGUGAGUAACGCGUAAAGAACUUGCCCCUUAGCCUGGGACAACUGUUGGAAACGACAGCUAAUACCGGAUAUUAUGAGACUCUGGCAUCAGAGACUUAUGAAAGCUAUAUGCGCUAAGGGAGAGCUUUGCGUCCUAUUAGCUAGUUGGUGAGGUAAUGGCUCACCAAGGCGACGGUAGGUAGCCGGCCUGAGAGGGUGAACGGCCACAAGGGGACUGAGACACGGCCCUUACUCCUACGGGAGGCAGCAGUGGGGAAUAUUGGACACUGGACCAAAAGUCUGAUCCAGCAAUUCUGUGUGCUUGAUGAAGGCCUUCGGGUUGUAAAGAGCUUUAAGUAGGGAAGAAGAAAGUGACGGUACCUACAGAAUAAGCGACGGCUAAAUACGUGCCAGCCGCCGCAGUAA
rnacentral:rRNA from 1 species